GACGAACGCUGGCGGCGUGCUUAACACAUGCAAGUCGAACGGAAAGGCCCCUUUGGGGGUACUCGAGUGGCGAACGGGUGAGUAACACGUGAGUAACCUGCCCUUGACUUCGGGAUAACUUCAGGAAACUGGGGCUAAUACCGGAUAGGAAUCCUUGCUGCAUGGUGGGGGUUGGAAAGCUUCGGCGGUUUUGGAUGGACUCGCGGCUUAUCAGCUUGUUGGUGGGGUAGUGGCUUACCAAGGCUUUGACGGGUAGCCGGCCUGAGAGGGCGACCGGCCACAUUGGGGCUGAGAUACGGCCCAGACUCCUACGGGAGGCAGCAGUGGGGAAUAUUGCACAAUGGGCGGAGGCCUGAUGCAGCAACGCCGCGUGCGGGAUGACGGCCUUCGGGUUGUAAACCGCUUUCAGCAGGGGCGAAGCUUGUGGUGACGGUACCUGCAGAAGAAGCACCGGCUAACUACGUG
rnacentral:rRNA from 1 species